rnacentral:rRNA from 1 species
AACGCGAAAGCGUGGCUAAUACCGCAUACGCGCUACGGGGGAAAGGGGGGGAUCGCAAGACCUCUCACUAUUGGAGCGGCCGAUAUCGGAUUAGCUGGUUGGUGGGGUAAAGGCCUACCAAGGCGACGAUCCGUAGCUGGUUUGAGACGA